rfam:Chryseobacterium arachidis strain DSM 27619 genome assembly, contig: Ga0131169_102
UCCUAGCCCAGAUAGGAACGGCAUCCUUUUUUGUUGCGGCUGGAGCGAAGCGGAAGCCGUAACAAAAAAGAUACAGUGGAUAGCUGGAAAUAGC